GACGUAGGGCGCGAGCGUUGUCCGGAUUUAUUGGGCGUAAAGAGCUCGUAGGCGGCUUGUUGCGUCGACCGUGAAAACCCGUGGCUUAACUGCGGGCUUGCGGUCGAUACGGGCGGGCUGGAGUUCGGUAGGGGAGACUGGAAUUCCUGGUGUAGCGGUGAAAUGCGCAGAUAUCAGGAGGAACACCGGUGGCGAAGGCGGGUCUCUGGGCCGUAUGACUGACGCUGAGGAGCGAAAGCGUGGGGAGCGAACAGG
rnacentral:rRNA from 1 species